AUUGAACGCUGGCGGCUGCUCCACACAUUGUCAAGUCGAACGGCAGCACAGGAGCAGCUUGCUCUACUGGGUGGCGAGUGGCGGACGGGUGAGGAAUACAUCGGAAUCUACUCUGUCGUGGGGGAUAACGUAGGGAAACUUACGCUAAUACCGCAUACGAUCUAAGGAUGAAAGCAGGGGAUCUUCGGACCUUGUGCUCCUGGAGCGGCCGAUAUCUGAUUAGCUAGUUGGUGAGGUAAAGGCUCACCAAGGCGACGAUCAGUAGCUGGUCUGAGAGGACGACCAGCCACACUGGAACUGAGACACGGUCCAGACUCCUACGGGAGGCAGCAGUGGGGAAUUUUUGGACAAUGGGCGCAAGCCUGAUCCAGCAAUGCCGCGUGAGUGAAGAAGGCCUUCGGGUUGUAAAGCUCUUUUGUCAGUGGAAGAAACGGCUGUGGCUAAUAUCCACGGCUAAUGACGGUACCUGAAGAAUAAGCACCGGCUAAACUACGUGCCAGCAAGCCAGCGGUAAUACGUACGGGUGCAAAGCGUUAAUCGGAAUUACUUGGGCGUAA
rnacentral:rRNA from 1 species